GUCUAUGGCGAUUCACGCAGAGGACAUUGUGAAGGCAAGGUGAUAUGUGACAGAUCACGUCUGGAGUAUCAGAGAAGAGAAAAAGGCAUUAAAUGAGAUAUGAACAGCAGAGAGUCCAAAGAAUCACGAGAGAAAAGCCUACCGAAGCAUGUUCGCAGAGACAGCAUGCAGCAAACACCAAACAUGUGUCUGGAUGCAGACGGACCUGAAGAGUUUCAUUCUGGUGAAUUAGAGACAGUCACAGAUG